rnacentral:lncRNA from 1 species
GCUUCCUCAUUUCGAGGAAUGCACUUGUUCUUGAUUUAUUUUCACUAUGCUGUAGAGCGGUUUAUGUUCAUUUAUUUGUUUGAAACUUAGGAAUUUCAACUAAUUUUGAUUAAUAAAGUCCAGCUCUUAAAAAGCCAAAAAUGAUAUUUCGGUAAACUACCGAAAUGAACCACUUUACCGCUCGUGUUAAAACCCCAUGGUUAGUCUCUUAUCUAUUUUGCAUUUUGGAUGUUCUGCCAUUCUUUUUAUGACCUCUGUUUCUGUAGUGCUUCCCUACCCCCCAAAAUAAACCGAUUUUUGUUUUGUACUUACUGUUGGAUUCUUCCCAUUUACAGCAUACAAUAUGUAUUGGCUCAAAUUGACAACUGCAUUCAAUAUGGAGAAGAUGCCGAUGUGAAGGUUAAGGAUUUUGAUCAAGACGAUGAUGAGUAGCUGACUCUCUUCUGCAGCAAUGCUUGGUAUGAUACAAAGUACUGUGUUCACAAUGACUUAAUGGUUAUCAAGCUCAAAUUGUUAAUACAAUAGUUUUUAGUUAUGUUUAGUGUGAAUUGGGGACCUUGACGAUUUAUAAAAAUUUAGCCACCUGAUGGGGAGAGAAGUUGGGGAUGGUGCUUAAUCAAAUACUUUG